rnacentral:misc_RNA from 1 species
CUGAGUUAGGGUCCUCUGGGCCCGAACCUCCAACCCUAUGUUUAACUACUUUGUUGCUUUGGCAGGCCCGUCCUUCGGGGCCGCCGGGGGUGUUUAGUCACCUCUGGUCAGUGCUUGUCAGUAGCCAAUUUAAAUUCUUUAUAAUAAUGAAGUCUGAAUCUUUAAUUAAAAUUUAAUUA